GCAAUGAUGACUGAGCAGUUUUGACAGAGAUGAAAAAACACAACUUAAACCUCUAAGAAGUUCUGAGCUC